rnacentral:tRNA from 1 species
AAGGGUGUAGCUCAGCGGUAGAGUGCCUGCUUAGCAUGCAUGAGGACCUGAGUUCAAGCCCCAGUACCUCUU